rnacentral:piRNA from 1 species
UCCCAUCUUGAAUGAUUUCUGGGAAGGA